ensembl:miRNA cin-mir-4077c cin-mir-4077c
AAGUUGGAAGUUGAUUGACUGGGUUUGAAAUAUACCAGUUAAUUGACUCCAACUA